rnacentral:lncRNA from 10 species
GGGUCCCGGCCCCGCCUGGAGGGUGGGUCCGCCGAUUACUCACUUUGUUUUUAGGGGAUUUCAGGGCCCCCUCCCGCCGAUCGGCGGAGUUUGGUGAUGUCACUCUGGGCCGGGUCUGGAGCAAAGCCAGGGCUACUGGGCUGCGGCCGCCCGCCCCGCGCAGGGAAAAGCCCGACCGGGCCUUCUGCUCCGCAGAGGCCGGGUGGUUGAACUCCGCGCGGGUUUCCUAACCGCUAAAGGUGCCUUUCGGUGGUGGCUGUCUCAGAAGCACGUUAAAAUGUCCUACCCACCCCAAUCUAGAUGCGGCUGUGGGGGAAUGGGAGCGGCCGGACCUCCCAGCCUGACAGUGCAUCAAGAGCUUUGCGGAGCCUACAGCCCGGAUGGGACGACUGAGGCCCUCCCGCUGGCGAGCUGGCCGAGGGCUCGUCCCUCUCCAGCUAAAGCGCCAGCUUACGAUACAGCCAAACUGCCGGCUCUCAUCGGCUGUGGGAGCAGGAGGCCCCCAGGGGUAAAUCCCGGAGCCUCGUCUCUGAAGCCUGGCGCUUGUGUCUCAGAAGGUGCGGGACCCACAGGGACACUUGAAUCAGCAGGCUCACGACCCCCCACCCCCCUGCCCCCGCCUGUGUUUGCCCUGGACCUCCAGCUAGGGCUGACCACUAAUUCUGUCAUGUGACCCCACAGUGCAGGUAGCUCCCCCAAGACCAAGCCCAAGGCGCGUCCGUGUGGAGGCUGGGGCUGACGCACCCCCACCCCAGGCCUCAUCCCCAAAGGAGGAUGCUCCACUGCAGGGGGCGGAGUCUUCUCCAGAUGGAGAAAGACUUUUUUAUUUUCUCUGAAUUCGUCUUAAAUUAGGAAAUCAUGUGGGAAUUGGAAAAGAUUGGAAAUUCUGACUUGUUUCCCAGGCUCUGAAGAAACAGGAAGAGAAAAGUGAAAAUAGAGUUAGCACCCCGCCCACUCAUUUCAGUUUCUCCAGUGGCUGGCCCUGAUUAGAAAAGUGUUUACUUUUGGCAGGGGGCGGGGGAGGCCGACUUCAGGUGACAGAAUGGAUUAAUUAAAAUCUUUGGUUAAUGAUAUACAAUUAUCAUUGAACCUUGCAUGGAUCCUCUUCUUAAAAUUCAUGUAUAUUUAUAACUUUUAAAUUAAUACGAUAAACACCCAUGUACCCAUUGCAAAACUCAAGGGGCCACCACCAUCCAGAAUUCUGUAUUGUAUUGUAUUGUAUUGUAUUGUAUUGUAUUGUAUUGUAUUGUAUUUAUUUAUUUAUUUAUUUUUUGAGACACGGUCUGUCUCUGUCGC